AAGGUUAAUAAUGUCUUAGAGGUCGAGAUAUGAUAUUCAGAAUUGCAUGAGAUGCAAUUAGAAAGAAUUUUCUACCUAUAAAUUCAUAAGGAUUUGUUGUGUUAACACAAGAUCAUUAUGAGGAAUUAGGGUCUCAAUCCCAUUAAGAUAAAUAUGAAAUAUGUUUCGUUCAUCAUAGUAGAGGGUUAUAAUGUUCGAUAAAAUAGUGGGAGG
rnacentral:lncRNA from 1 species